GGGGAAUAUUGGACAAUGGGCGAAAGCCUGAUCCAGCCAUGCCGCGUGUGUGAAGAAGGUCUUCGGAUUGUAAAGCACUUUAAGUUGGGAGGAAGGGUUUCUGGCUAAUAUCCAGGAAUUUUGACGGUACCCAAAGAAUAAGCACCGGCUAACUUCGUGCCAGCAGCCGCGGUAAUACGAAGGGUGCAAGCGUUACUCGGAAUUACUGGGCGUAAAGCGUGCGUAGGUGGUCGUUUAAGUCCGUUGUGAAAGCCCUGGGCUCAACCUGGGAACUGCAGUGGAUACUGGGCGACUAGAGUGUGGUAGAGGGUAGCGGAAUUCCUGGUGUAGCAGUGAAAUGCGUAGAGAUCAGGAGGAACAUCCAUGGCGAAGGCAGCUACCUGGACCAACACUGACACUGAGGCACGAAAGCGUGGGGAGCAAACA
rnacentral:rRNA from 1 species